rnacentral:rRNA from 1 species
UACGGAGGGGGUUAGCGUUGUUCGGAAUGACUGGGCGUAAAGCGCGCGUAGGCGGGCUGGAAAGUUGGGGGUGAAAUCCCGGGGCUCAACCCCGGAAUGGCCUUCGAGACUGGUGGUCUUGAGUUCGAGAGAGGUGAGUGGAAUUCCGAGUGUAGAGGUGAAAUUCGUAGAUAUUCGGAGGAACACCAGUGGCGAAGGCGGCUCACUGGCUCGACACUGACGCUGAGGUGCGAAAGCGUGGGGAGCAAACAGG